CCUACGGGUGGCACCAGUGGGGAAUUUUGGACAAUGGGCGAAAGCCUGAUCCAGCCAUGCCGCGUGCAGGAUGAAGGCCUUCGGGUUGUAAACUGCUUUUGUACGGAACGAAAAGGUCUUUUCUAAUAAAGAAGGCUCAUGACGGUACCGUAAGAAUAAGCACCGGCUAACUACGUGCCAGCAGCCGCGGUAAUACGUAGGGUGCAAGCGUUAAUCGGAAUUACUGGGCGUAAAGCGUGCGCAGGCGGUUAUAUAAGACAGAUGUGAAAUCCCCGGGCUCAACCUGGGAACUGCAUUAGUGACUGUAUAGCUAGAGUGCGGCAGAGGGGGAUGGAAUUCCGCGUGUAGCAGUGGAAUGCGUAGAUAUGCGGAGGAACACCGAUGGCGAAGGCAAUCCCCUGGGCCUGCACUGACGCUCAUGCACGAAAGCGUGGGGAGCA
rnacentral:rRNA from 1 species